rnacentral:rRNA from 1 species
AGUCGGGAAUUUUGGGCAAUGGGCGAAAGCCUGACCCAGCAACGCCGCGUGAAGGAUGAAGUAUUUCGGUAUGUAAACUUCGUAAGAAUGGGAAGAAUAAAUGACGGUACCAUUUGUAAGGUCCGGCUAACUACGUGCCAGCAGCCGCGGUAAUACGUAGGGACCAAGCGUUGUUCGGAUUUACUGGGCGUAAAGGGUGCGUAGGCGGCGUGUCAAGUCAGUUGUGAAAUCUUAAGGCUUAACCUUAAGCGGUCAACUGAUACUGUCAUGCUAGAGUGCAGAAGGGGCAAUCGGAAUUCUUGGUGUAGCGGUGAAAUGCGUAGAUAUCAAGAGGAACACCUGAGGUGAAGACGGGUUGCUGGGCUGACACUGACGCUGAGGCACGAAAGCUAGGGUAGCAAA